GUUUGAUCCUGGCUCAGGAUAAACGCUGGCGGCGUGCCUAACACAUGAAAGUCGAACGUCCUUUCCCGCAAGGGGAAGGGAGUGGCGGACGGGUGAGUAUCACGUGGGUUAUCUGCCUUUAGGUGAGGAAUACCGGCGAGAAAUCGCCGACAAUACCGCAUAUCUUUCGUAAGAAAGAAAGCUUCGUAAGAGGUGCCUGAGGAGGAGCCUGCGCCCGAUUAGUUGGUUGGUGGGGUAAUGGCCUACCAAGACGACGAUCGGUAGCUGGUCUGAGAGGAUGAUCAGCCACACUGGGAUUGAGAACGGCCCAGACUCCUACGGGGGGCAGCAGUGAGGAAUUUUCGGCAAUGGGGGCAACCCUGACCGAGCAACGCCGCGUGCAGGAUGACAGUCUUCGGAUUGUAAACUGCUUUUCUCGGGGACGAGUAAGGACGGUACCCGAGGAAGAAGCCCCGGCUAACUACGUGCCAGCAGCCGCGGUAAUACGUAGGGGGCGAGCGUUGUCCGGAGUUACUGGGCGUAAAGCGCACGCAGGCGGUCCGGUAAGUUCGGAGUGACAAUCCUCGGCUUAACUGAGGAGGGUCUUCGAAGACUGCCAGACUUGAGGGCUCACGAGGGACACGGAAUUCCGGGUGGAGUGGUGAAAUGCGUAGAUAUCCGGAGGAACACCAAAGGCGAAGGCAGUGUCCUGGGGAGUACCUGACGCUCAGGUGCGAAAGCUAGGGGAGCGAACGGGAUUAGAUACCCCGGUAAUCCUAGCCGUAAACGAUGACCACUAGGCGUGGGGGGUAUCGA
rnacentral:rRNA from 1 species